GAUCCUGGCUCAGGAUGAACGCUAGCUACAGGCUUAACACAUGCAAGUCGAGGGGAAACGACAUUGGAAGCUUGCUUCCUUUGGGCGUCGACCGGCGCACGGGUGAGUAGCGCGUAUCCAACCUUCCCGCAAGUAAGGGAUAACCCGUAGAAAUGCGGCCUAAUACCUUAUGUUUUCCUUAGAGGGCAUCUGAUGAGGAACAAAGAUCCGUCGCUUGCGGAUGGGGAUGCGUCUGAUUAGUUAGUCGGG
rnacentral:rRNA from 1 species